ACUGACGCUCAGGUGCGAAAGCGUGGGGAGCAAACAGGAUUAGAUACCCUGUAGUCCACGCCGUAAACGAUGCCGACUUGGAGGUUGUGCCCUUGAGGCGUGGCUUCCGGAGCUAACGCGUUAAGUCGACCGCCUGGGGAGUACGGCCGCAAGGUUAAAACUCAAAUGAAUUGACGGGGGCCCGCACAAGCGGUGGAGCAUGUGGUUUAAUUCGAUGCAACGCGAAGAACCUUACCUGGUCUUGACAUCCACGGAAGUUUUCAGAGAUGAGAAUGUGCCUUCGGGAACCGUGAGACAGGUGCUGCAUGGCUGUCGUCAGCUCGUGUUGUGAAAUGUUGGGUUAAGUCCCGCAACGAGCGCAACCCUUAUCCUUUGUUGCCAGCGGUCCGGCCGGGAACUCAAAGGAGACUGCCAGUGAUAAACUGGAGGAAGGUGGGGAUGACGUCAAGUCAUCAUGGCCCUUACGACCAGGGCUACACACGUGCUACAAUGGCGCAUACAAAGAGAAGCGACCUCGCGAGAGCAAGCGGACCUCAUAAAGUGCGUCGUAGUCCGGAUUGGAGUCUGCAACUCGACUCCAUGAAGUCGGAAUCGCUAGUAAUCGUGGAUCAGAAUGCCACGGUGAAUACGUUCCCGGGCCUUGUACACAC
rnacentral:rRNA from 1 species